UACGAGGGGGGCAAGCGUUGUUCGGAAUUAUUGGGCGUAAAGGGCGCGUAGGCGGUGCGGUAAGUCUGAUGUGAAAUCUCACAGCUUAACUGUGAAACUGCAUUGGAUACUAUUCGGCUUGGGAGUUGGAGGGGGGACUGGAAUUCUUGGUGUAGCAGUGAAAUGCGUAGAUAUCAAGAGGAACACCAGUGGCGAAGGCGAGUCCCUGGACAACUUCUGACGCUGAGGCACGAAAGCUAGGGGAGCAAACAGG
rnacentral:rRNA from 1 species